rnacentral:lncRNA from 1 species
GUGAGGAAGGCCAAGGUGGUUCAGGAAUGGAGGACUAAACUCCCUAUCCAAACUGAGCCCAUUCAAAGAGAGGCAGUAGUUAAACAGAUUGUGCCAAAUGAAGCUCCUAUAGAGGUUAAUGUACCUCAACAUCUGGUGACAGAGAAAGAUAAGCAAGAAGACAGAAUGGAGGACUAAACUCCCUGUCCAAACUGAGCCUAUUUAAAGGGAGACAAUAGUUAAACAGAUUGUGCCAAAUGAAGCUCCUAUAGAGGUUAAUGUACCUCAACAUCUGGUGACAGAGAAAGAUAAGCAAGAAGACAAGGGGAAGCAACCUCAGAGUCCAAUUUUCAACUACCUUAAUUUCCCAC